CAGGGGCUGCCCUGCCUCUGCCUGUCCCCAGACCUGGCCCUGACCAGGGGCUGCCCUGCCUCUGCCUGUCCCCAGACCUGGCCCUGACCAGGGGCUGCCCUGCCUCUGCCUGUCCCCAGACCUGGCCCUGACCAGGGGCUGCCCUGCCUCUGCCUGUCCCCAGACCUGGCCCUGACCAGUCUGACAGGAAGAGGGGGAGGGAGGCGGAGGGCUGAUUGGCAGGGCGUCGCUGGUGCGCUGGGGGGCCAGGAGUGAGACCCUUGGGGGUGGGCAGCUUUGAUCCUGGUGGGUUUUAAUUUGAAGGAGAGACGAGCUGGAGGGAAGCCAGACUGUCCCGCCUCCCGCAUGCCUCUGGUCUGCGGGUCAGGGUGGGGGGCUGUGGCCCUGCCACGCCGCAAGGGAUUCUGGGUAAUUAUUUGGGUGUACAGCACUACAGAGUAUGUCAGCGGCCGCGGCGAGCAACGUGACUCUCCAGGGGGGCGGAGGGCGGAGCUGUUUCCUCACCUCACCCCAGCGUCGAGUCACUUUGGUGAAUGUAACUGUGUUUGAGCGUCAAUCAAGUGGAACCUCACACACAAAAGGAGGCAGGAAAAGAAGAAGUAGGCCCCAUAUUGAUCUGCGUUUAUGAAAGAUGUUUUUUUCAUUCUUCGAUUACGUUGCCGUUUUCGGAAUUCCUAUGUAAAUUGAAUCUAAAUGUUCUCCAGAAUGAACAAGAUGGAAUCUUUCCGAUUUGCAACGUUUCCCAGAGUCCCGAUGGUUCUUCUGCUUAUCUCCUCCUCCGUCCUCCUCACAUUGGUAUUUUAAUAUGAACUCAGAAGACGCAGACGACACGUCUCUCUGGAUCUCAUUCGAUGUUAUCUGUUGCUGUUAAGACUUGCCAAAUUAAAAAAAAAAAAAAAAAUCUGUUUUUGUUUUCUGUAAAUACAAUCAAGUUAGCGGUUUUCCGACGCUCCUCCCUAAAUCUGCAGAUAUGACGAACAAUCCGACGCGUUUGAAGAAGAAAAAAAAUGAUGGAUCACUGAAGCCAAAUGUGUACGUUUGUGUGCUGUUUAGUAGUAAUUUCUUUUAAAAUAUUGGUUCACAUACUGCUUAGCAAUCAGUUUUACAUUUAAUUUUGCCACUCAUAAUUUUCUAAUGAAUUACAAGAUUUAUUUUGUACUGUGAUUCUGUAGCUUCUUCUUUGUUUUCUUUGAAGGAAAAACGUGAUAAAUGUGUUUUGAAGAUGACAGAAAUGUAAUAUUAUAGAGCAAUAGUUAGUGAUUAAUUGCUGCCGGCUGGCCCAAGUCACAAAAUGGCCCAGCAGUUCUUAAUGAGUGAUCGGAUAUAUUAUUUUCUAAUAUUUUGAAACGGGCAAAGUAAACAGAAGUAUAUAUUUGUUCAAACUAAUUUAUGGAUCAGAUUCAUGGGUGAUUUUAAUAGUCUGGACGUCUUUCUGUUAUCUCCCGUUAAGGAGAGAUUCUGCACUGCUGGUAGGGGGAGGAGAAAAACAGUCAUGGGCUGAUAUUUUUAUUUUACUGUAUAUGUAGUUAUAUCAGUUAUGAAUUUGCUUGAGAAUGGAAAAGAUGAGUUUUUAUUUAAGGGUGUUGCUUUAUGCAAAUGAAGGAAAAAGAAAACAGACAAAAAAAUAUAUCAGUGGUUACAUUUUUACUGGUCUAUGCUUGCAUUUUGUAAUUCAAGGACUUCUGUUGGGUCUUGGUUAUAAUCCCAUACUUUGUCUCCUGCUUGAUAGUUAUUCUUAAGAUUCCAAAGCUCACAAUAUGUCAUAAUUUUUUGUGUAUGUAAUUCAGGUGGGUUGUCAUAACUUCAUAACAAGGGCUACUACUAGCUAAAUUUGAUAUGGAAUGAAAGUACUUUGUGCGUGACAAAAGGAGCAAAAAGGUGCAAUUCUAGCGAGUGUUGAAUCAGGAAACUGGGGUGUGUUGAGGUUGGGCCGGAAGCUUUAGGCUGGCUCGUCUGGGGUUAGAGAAUAUAGGCGCACAGGUUCGAAGGCCAGUCGGGUGUGCAGGCACGCAUACAUUUUUGGAUGAUUUGAAUUUGUGAGCAGUCCGCUUUGAGACGAGAAAUAUGGAAUCUUUAGACUCCCUUGUUUCCAGAACGGUUUACCUGUGCACUCCCCAACAUUGAUUUCAAAGAACAGGAUCGGUUAGACAUGUCAACACCUGUCGUAUUAAAUCCUUAAGAAUCCAUGCAGAUGCCACCUCUGUGAUGGGGCUGGAAGACUAUUAAUGCAACAUAAGUAGAGGUUAGCUCAUCCAUAUGCCACAGUCCAUCUCUAGUGUCCCAGGUACCCUACCAGCCUGCCAGUCAUCUCAUCCAUGAUGUCCUCGUCCACUUGGUUCUACUUUGCGGUCAGUAACGGUUGUGUUUCCAUCCCCUGGUCAGGAAAGUUUCCAUGGUAGACCACCUCAUGGUCUUAGAUAAAAGACAGGGAGGGCUUGAUUCUUUUUAAUUGUAGUGGAGUUAUUGUAAAAAUAAAACAACAAAAAAACUAAAACAGCUCGAUAUUUACUUUGCAUAUCGUGUGUGGCUGGUGGAUAAAAGGUAAUGCCAAAAGGGAUGGAGACGGGUGUUUGAUGGUCGAUGAUUGCUUGGCUGAAAGACAGACCUGCCAAGGAAGAUGUAUUUGGCCGGUGUCUUUAUGUUCUGUAUAUAGGGCCUGUGGGCUAUGGAGAGCGACUCGUAACAUAAGGUCCCCCCCCCCCCCCCCCCCCCGUAAACACUACAACAUACAACAGUGGCUGUUGAGAGUAUUGUCCACACUCUGGCAUUUACACCAGUACAGCAUUGAUUGUCUACAGGAUGCACUACCGAGGACAGGCCCGUAGAUCUAAGAGCAUGGCCUGUUCCCUCCCAUCUUCCGCAAAGGUCCCUUGCGUUGAAAUGAAGCCUGUUUUUCAAAAAACUUCAGCUUUAUUUAUUCGAUAUAUAUAUUGCUUGCUAACUGAAGGUACUGAGAAAACGUUGAAUGGAUGGACGGUUGAUAAUGGUGUUCUAGAAUGUCCACGGUUGAUAUUGGUGUUCUAGAAUGUCCACGGUUGAUAAUGGUGUUCUAGAAUGUCCACGGUUGAUAAUGGUGUUCUAGAAUGUCCACUGUCCUCUUAACCCUUCUGUCAUUCUGUUCCUGGAUCAAUGCACUGAACCUAACCCUGUGGCAAUGGACAGCCCUGCAUUCAUGCAACUUACAUUUCGAUUCAAGCUACUAUGAGACGUGUAUACACUUUUGAUGGUAAAUGCUUGAGGUCCAUUCUAAUGCAAUGGAUGCAUAGAAAUAUAGAAGCUAUAUUUGCAUCUUUUUUUGUUUGUUUAUUAAAUUUGUUUUUAAGGCUGACAUUACCUGAACACAUGUAUUUAGGACCACUUAUGAUUUAUUUUAAAUAAGAGGUUGAAAUAAACAUUGUGUAGUGAUGUAUACAUUGAAAGUAAUGCAUUUUGUUUUUUGUUUCUUUUUUUAAGUAAACCAAAUGUAAAUUAUGUACAAUAAUGAGUGUGCCAAUCCUCUUUCUUUGUAGAGACUCUUAACAAGUGCCAAUGUUGUGAAAAUCAUAAAAAGGACUUGUGUAUUUCAUGGUCCAAUUUUUAAAACAAAUAAACACUAAGUAUGUGAUUACGAUAUAUAAAUGAAAAAAGGACAAUUUUAUUCUGUAUUUAAAAUUUAUGAACUGCUGUUUUUAAAAAGAUAUGUCAUUUUAAUUGCAUGCGUUUGUUUAGGUGGGGAGGAAGGGUAGGUGGGUGAAAAUUGUAUUAAAGCAAAGCCCUCUUGCAGGGGUCCUAAUGGUAAUUGAUUUACAGUAUUUUAGCCAUAUUUCUCUUUUGUAUGUUUCAUUUCAACCACUGUUGCCUGAACCUCAUUCAAACAUGAAAUGGAUUUCAUAGCCUUCUACUUUGAAUAUAUUUUCUGUUUUAAAUUGGAAUAAAAUUUGUUCCUAUACUGUC